AUAACUGCCAGUGGCAGUGUCGUAGCCCAUGAGGUUUAUCCGAGGCGCGAUCGUUGCUCAUUGAAGACUUUUCCCAAUACCCCACCGUGACAGCUUCAGUAUAGUCGGCAUUGGCAAUUUUUGAUGGUCUCUAUGGAGA
rfam:Callithrix jacchus chromosome 3, whole genome shotgun sequence